GAUCACGCUGCCUUGUGGCCGCAGAAUCCUGUCCAUUUCCAGCAGAAUAUCCUCCAUUUCACAUCUGCAAUACAGGUAUAGUUUCCUCAUACGUUAGUUUCGAGCAUUAUACGAAAGAAUACCAUAAUAUGCAUGGUCUAGCUUAUUACCUGCCCUUGUACAUACUGAAGACCGAAUCACCAUGUAUGAAGUCAUACGUUCGAGGAUAAGUUGACAUUGCCUCACACCUAAAGAUAAGAUCAACGAGUGUUUUCAAUUCAAAGCGAUUAAACGAACUAUGAAUCUAAACACUAAUACAAGGUUGCUGUAUUUGUGCAGUUAAGGACGCAUUUUAGUUUUACAUACCAAUUUUGAUAUGUUCCAAUAAGUCCCCGUUCGUAAAUGACUCCAAGGGUGUUAAAAUCUGCUUCGACAGGGACGAUGUUCAUGACCCACAGAGGAUCAUCAACGAUGGCAGCUGCAAAACCACCCAAGAACGAGUUCAUGUCAAGCAAAUUGCGGUACCUCCCGGGCUCAGCAAGCUGGCCGUCCAAGGCCUUGUAAUGUGCUACUCUCUUUCUCC
rnacentral:lncRNA from 1 species